GUAUAAGGAAGGGAAGCAAGAGCAGACACGUGCAGAACAAGGACCGGGGAAGAGGGUCCAGGAUAUCCGCGGAGGGGAUAUAGCUUACUCUCCAAGGCAGAGGGUCAUGUGUAUGCUGUUUGCCUUUGGAAACCCCCGAAUCGCCGCUACGGAGUGCUUUGUGGACACGGUGGGGGUGGAUGCGGAGUACCGCGGGAAGGGCAUCGGCAAGGCGCUCAUGGAGAGGGCCGAUUCCGAGGCGAGACGACGCGGAUGCACGGUAGGCAGGAUGUGCUAGAUGUACAAGCAGGGAGCUUCUUCCAAUAGAACCUACUUGACGAUGUUCCUGUGGGUGAAGCAGAAUAACCGUGCUGUCCGCCUGUACGAGCGUCAGGGUUACGUCAUCACCCACGGGUUCGGCGGCUGGUUCACGGGGUGGGCCACUGGCUGCAGAGACUGGUACAACAUGGAGAAGAAACUGUAGCACCCAAGACACCCAACAGCAUGUCAAGUGUCUCAGAUACAGUUUUCUUUUACAACAUUGAAGAGACUUGUCCAUCAUGCCUAUCUUAACAUUUCAGUGCCAUUCCAUGUUUUCUUAAAAACAUUGUCUUGUAUUGUAGUAUGCAAGUGUAUUUUGUUAUACUUAAGAGGGCCCAAUGUAUGUUCUUUUACAUGAUUUAGACUGGUCAUGAUGUAUAGUGUGUACAA